rnacentral:rRNA from 1 species
AUUGAACGCUGGCGGCAGGCCAAACACAUGCAAGUCGAACGAGUGGCGGACGGGUGAGUAAUGUCUGGGAAACUGCCCGAUGGAGGGGGAUAACUACUGGAAACGGUAUCUAAUACCGCAUACCAUCGGAUGUGCCCAGAUGGGAGUAUCUAGUAGGUGGGGUAAUGGCUCACCUAGGCGACGAUCCCUAGCUGGGCUGAUAGGAUGACCAGCCACACUGGAACUGGUACAAGGUCCAGACUCCUACGGGAGGCAGAAGUGGGGAAUAUUGCACAAUUGGCGCAAGCCUGAUGCAGCCAUGCCGCGUGUAUGAAGAAGGCCUUCGGGUUGUAAAGUACUUUCAGCGGGGAGGCGUUACCCGCAGAAGAAGCACCGGCUAACUCCGUGCCAGCAGCCGCGGUAAUAC